CAGAUAGAUACCCUAUUAUUUAAGAUUAGUAAGUGGGUAGUAUUAGUUAUGAUCUUAAAACUCAAAGAAUAUGGCGGUGUUUAACAAAAAUCAGAGGAACCUGUCUUUUAAAAUGAUGAUCCACGAGUAUCUUUUUUAAUUUAUAAGUUUGUAUAUCGUCGUUUGGAGUUUCGUUAGUAGAUGACUUACUAAAAUUAGGGUAUUCACACUUAGGAAGACAGAUCAGGAUGCAGCUAAUAAUUAAAGUUGGAUGGGUUACAUUUUUUGUAAAUACGGAGUUUCCUGGAAUUUGGAAUAUUUAAGUUGGAUUUGAAAGUAAUUUUUUNCCAAAAGUU
rnacentral:rRNA from 1 species